rnacentral:rRNA from 1 species
CCAGGAUUCCCCUAGUAACGGCGAGUGAACCGGGAAAAGCCCAGCUUGUAAAUCUGGCAGCAUUGCUGUCCGAAUUGUAGUCUAAAGAUGCGCCCUCUGAGGCGGACGAAGCUCAAGUUCCUUGGAAUGGGACGCUAGAGAGGGUGAGAGCCCCGUCGGUUUCAGUCCGUUCUCUCCACGAGGCGUAGUCAACGAGUCGGGUUGUUUGGGAAUGCAGCCCAAAGCAGGAGGUAAAUUCCUUCUAAGGCUAAAUACUGGCGAGAGACCGAUAGCGAACAAGUACCGUGAGGGAAAGAUGAAAAGAACUUUGAAAAGAGAGUUAAACAGUGCUUGAAAUUGUUGAGGGGGAAGCGAUUAGAAGUACGGGUGCACCUUGGCUUUGCUUUGCAGCGCAAGGGGCUGGUCAGCGUGGGUUAACCGGGCGGGAGAAAGAGGGAGAUUGUUCCUCCUUGGAUGCCGUCUGGUUGACUGAGGUGUGAAGUGCGCUCUUUGAGACCCAUUUAUGGGAUCUGCGUACUGAAGACGCUGGCGGAAUGCUUCUAAUCGGCCCGUCUUGAAACAGGGAA